rnacentral:misc_RNA from 1 species
CUUCAUUUAGAGGAAGUAAAAGUCGUAACAAGGUUUCCGUAGGUGAACCUGCGGAAGGAUCAUUAACACGUAUCCAACGUUAAACCCCCUGUGAACUUUCAUCGUGCUCUUGCAUCCUAGGAACAGCAAUCCUGGUAAAUCAGUCGCGAAAGUAGUUAUUGAUUGAGGACCUCUGCCCAAAAGAUGUGAUUGAGCGCUCGAGGCAAGUGACCUAGCUUCCCCAAGCAAUCAGUGUUCUGACAGUGUCACUGACUGUGUAAGGAUAACGCUUCACGGAUGCUGUAGGCCGAUCACCGGCCGGCGUCAUGGUCACCGGGCUCACGCCCCUUCGAAACAACCAGUAGUUACCGUAUGUCUCCUCGACACAGCAAGUGCGCCGUCGCGGGAGAAAAACGAACAACUGUUAACAAUGGAUAUCUUGGUUCUC